rnacentral:rRNA from 1 species
AUUGAACGCUGGCGGCAGGCCUAACACAUGCAAGUCGAGCGGAUGAAGGGUGCUUGCUCCUGGAUUCAGCGGCGGACGGGUGAGUAAUGCCUAGGAAUCUGCCUGGUAGUGGGGGAUAACGUCCGGAAACGGGCGCUAAUACCGCAUACGUCCUGCGGGAGCAAGUGGGGGAUCUUCGGACAUCACGCUAUCAGAUGAGCCUAGGUCGGAUUAGCUAGUUGGUGGGGUAAAGGCCUACCAAGGCGACGAUCCGUAACUGGUCUGAGAGGAUGAUCAGUCACACUGGAAGUGAGACACGGUCCAGACGCCUACGGGAGGCAGCAGUGGGGAAUAGUGGACAGUGGGCGAAAGCCUGAUCCAGCCAUGCGGCGUGUGUGAAGAAGGUCUUCGGAUUGUAAAGCACUUUAAGUUGGGAGGAAGGGCAGUAAGUUAAUACCUUGCUGUUUUGACGUUACCAACAGAAUAAGCACCGGCUAACUUCGUG